UACGGAGGGGGUUAGCGUUGUUCGGAAUUACUGGGCGUAAAGCGUGCGCAGGCGGUUAGCCGUGUCCGAUGUGAAAGCCCCGGGCUCAACCUGGGAAUGGCAUUGGAAACUGGCUGGCUGGAGUGUGGCAGAGGGGGGUGGAAUUCCACGUGUAGCAGUGAAAUGCGUAGAGAUGUGGAGGAACACCGAUGGCGAAGGCAGCCCCCUGGGCCAACACUGACGCUCAGGCACGAAAGCGUGGGGAGCAAACAGG
rnacentral:rRNA from 1 species